rnacentral:tRNA from 1 species
GGGCCCUUAGCUCAGCGGUCAGAGCUGGGGACUCAUAAUCCCUAGGUCGGGGGUUCAAGUCCCUCAGGGCCCACCA